ACCGGCUCCAGCCUCGGCGCGCCGCUGGGGGAGGCAGGCGAAGCCGGCGGGACUCCCUCCGUCGGCUCUCGGGGUUUGGCAGAACUAAAUUGACACAACUUGAAUACACACAGUAUUUUAUAGAAAUCCGGCUACAGAAAGGGCUGACUUUCCCGAACCCACGACCAAUGUAAAAAAGACGCUCAGAAGGAGGAGAACAUCCUCAAACUACUCCGUUGUCAUCGUCAUCAUCAUCAUGUCCGUUUGAUUUAAAAACAGCACGAUAGGGAGAACGCUCUCACUGAACGCUGUCUCCUCAGCUUGCUUUUUUUCCUCCCAGCCACUCGGCUUUGUACCCCCAGAUUUGCCGCUUUGAGUUGCUCGACACAAGCAGCGUUUUGCGUGUCUCCAGCGAGAGGGGGAACGCGGGGUGAACAGAGGGCUGCGAGAGGGAACUCGGGGGCUACGGGGCUCAACUUCGGGAAGGAAUGAAGUAAAAAGAAGAGCGAGAGAAUGAGAGAGUCUCCCAGGCAGCUCGAUCCCAUUAGCUCCGUCCUUGGGUUGCAUAUUUAUACGGUCUAGGAGGUGAACAGAUGGACUAUCAAUUUAAUUCCAUCUUCAACACCAUCAGAGAUUGAUUUUCUACUCGCUUUUAAUUUUGCCAUAAUUAAUUAGAUCAUUACAACUGUUUUCUAUUGAUCUCCCUAUUUAAACCUCAGAUGCAAAGGGACUUCGGCAGAUCCUUUAAAAACACAGAAGGGAAAAGGAACAGAGGGGUUUGCAAACUUUUUAAAGGGUUUUUUUUUUUCAGUUUUGACUUAGAAGAUUUUCGGUGCAGAAUAGCAAAAAACUGCCUCCGUGGCCUUUUAUUUUAGGAGGCCUUUUUCGUUGCCUUUGUAAUUUUCUUUUACGAUUUGGUGAAUCUUUGUCUUAUUUAUAUAUAAUAUACAAGAUAUAUAAUAGAUUUAAUCGGUUCGAUUAUGAAAACAUAAGCUUGCACGUGUAUAUGCAUAUAUAUAUAUUCACACACAACGUGUUUAAUAUUGAGAUUUACAGAGCCGGUGCGCACACAUUUAUAUAUGAGGAAACUAUCGACAGAAGAGAUGUGGUUUUCUGAAGGGCGAAUAUUUUUAUUUGCCUCCCGUACGUGUCUCUCUGUUUGUGCACUUGAAUCCCUCUCUAGCUGGGGGAUAUUUCACCCUGCGACUCCAUCAGAAAUGACAAAGGAAAACCAGCGCUGUUAGCUCCGGUUCCUAGCUCGGUUCCCAGCGCCCGCCGCAGCCUUUUCUUUUCCAAGCCUCCCCUGCAGCAAACGACUGACAGCCGGGGCAACAGCACGGCUCUGUGCUGGCAGUCGGUGAGGUUUGUAUUUUAAACCUCUGUAUCCUUCCCCCCCACCACCAAAAAAAAAUCCCUAAAUUAAAAGCUCUGUUUAUAUACUUAA